GGGGGGGGGGGUCGUCGUCCCACAGAUGUGCUGACUCUGCAGAAACACAAACACCAGCUGACGGAGCCGGGGGCCAAUCAGAAGAAGAGAGCCGAGCGUCCCAGUGAAUCCAGACCCCGUUGGGAAAAUCCUUUUCUCCGAUGAGCGAGCAUUAAUAACGCGUCUGUUUCCCCUUUCACGGCCGUAAUCUCCAAGUGAUCUCGGGCCUCCCGCGCUAAAUUAUUCCUGCGGGGGCCGUGAAAAGGCGGCAGCGAGCUGGUUCCUUUAAGAGGCAAAUGAACAGCCGACGUGCGACGACGACGUCGUUCCCAGCAACGGAAACGUUAAGUCAACCACACACGGAGCAGGUUCAGGGCCCAGAGGCGGGAGCCACUGACGUGGGCCCCCGUCAUGGAGGCAAAGCCUGCUGGCGUUCAGGACCCGCACAGGAAGUGGUGUUCCCACGGAUACGCAGGUUCUGUCUCUUCAAACUCGACUCAGACUCAGUGACUCAGGUGUUUGCUCGAUACAUCGAAGUUACGGACGGAGGCGACAGUUUCUUCAUCGUCUCCGUGACUUUGUGCCGUGAAAAGGUGUUUUUAUAUAAAUCCCAGGACGUGAUGCAGUGGAAUCAGGAAGAGAGAGACCGUGGACCGUUCGUUACACAGAUCAACAGGUGGUCAGUGCAUGUGGGCGUGUCCUCAUCCAACAGACAGAAUGUCUGUCUCCGUAGAAACGCUCCGUCUCUGUCUCGGUCCAUUCAGGACAAAGGGCCACCGACCUGAUAACACACUCAACAUUCUGAGAGUCGGUUUUCAUUUGUUGCCGCGAUCUUUUCCCUGAACUCAACAUCAAGACGUUGCAGGAAGUGACACACCGAUGAAGAUGUUGUUCUCUCCUCAUGUUCUUCGCCAAACUUCUCUGUUGAUUUAACUGAUAGAAAAGUCCGGAGCAGCCGAACUUGAUGGAUUUCAGGCUCGACAUCAAACGUUGAGACGAUAAAUUCAGUUUUUCUUCUUCUUGCUCGUCGGUCGUGUGACUGAAUCCGGAUCUUAUCACGUUUCUUAUUUCGUGAAAUACUGCCAGACUCACGUGAGACGUGUGUUUAGCCUAGCUUAGCACAAACACAGGAAGCAGCUAGGCUAGCUCAUCAUAAUCACCUUUGACUGAGAGAGUUUAAUAUUUUAAUGAAAAAAAGAGGAAAUCUAGGAUUUCUGGAUGUCAUUUAAAUUUUCUAGAUUCUAACAUUUGUUAGAAUUUAUUGUUUUUCCCCCCAGGAUUAAAAAAAAGUGUUUAAUAAGUGUUAUUUGUUAAGAUGUUAUUCAUAUGAAUAAAAUAAAUUAAUGUUU